GUGCUGGCUUCAGCAGCACAUAUACUAAAAUUAGAAUGAUAUAGAUAAGAUUAGCAUGGCCCCAUGUGCAAGAAUGACAUGCAAAAGCUAGUUUUCAUUUGGCACUGAUUUUAU
rnacentral:snRNA from 1 species